AAGUCUUCGAAUGCCAUGGUGUUAAAAACAGUUGCCUCAGUUAAGGAACGUGGCUUUUACUGUGCUGACAUAUGGCACGAUAAUUUUAAGCUGAGACAGAAACUAUCGGGGAUAGGAGCCGGACUUCAUAUGCCUCACUUCUGAAUCACUUGUCUUCAGGCUGGAAUUCUGCUGGAGUAUUUCAGCUUCCCUGUAGAAGAAUCCUUACUCGAAAGGACAACAAGAGUUUGCAAGCCCCUGCAGUGAGAAUGUAGGGCCCAAGCACCUUCGACUGCAUUGCUGUUGGUUGGAUGGCUGCAAAGAAUUCAGUUGUUCAUCGAAGCACAGGAAGUCACUGGCUGAUGUAAAACCAGUCUGGAUAAACUGCUUUAUUCGAAGAAUUGAUGUAAAUCAAAUGCUUGUUGCAACUCUGAGGAGUACUUUUAAAUAUGGCUGGCCCACAUAACUUGCAGUCUCUAGCUCUUCUUAAGUAGACACUGUAAAGAGUAGGAAUUAAAACGUUAAGAAUAA